rnacentral:rRNA from 1 species
UCCUACGGGAUGUAGCAGUGGGGAAUUUUGGACAAUGGGGGCAAGCCUGAUCCAGCCAUGCCGCGUGAGUGAAGAAGGCCUUCGGGUUGUAAAGCUCUUUCGGCGGGGAAGAAAUAGCACGGGUUAAUAUCCUGUGUAGAUGACGGUCCCGAAUACGAGCCCCGGUUCCU